rnacentral:lncRNA from 1 species
GGGCUGCUGCACAAGUGCCCCUGGAACACAAAACAUUCCCCCCCAACCCCGAACCUGGGAAUUUUAAAUCAGGGCUCUCUGUGAUUAAACUACACAUACAUUUUGAACGGGUUGCACAAGAAGAGUCUAACACAUCAUCUUCCGGCAUCACAGCCCCUUUAAAUAAGAGAAUCUGAAUAGCUCCUGCAGCUUCUGAAAUGCCCUCUCAUCUUCUCCGUCUCUAAUGCCUACCUUCACAGGGAUGUCGGUGGGUUCCCGCAGUAACUGACAUCUCGGCUUGCUGGGACUUCAAAGCCAAACUUGGCGUUUUGUCUGGUGAAAGGGAAUUUAAAGAAGGACAACAAAGAAGCAGAUAGAAUGCGGAAACUUGAUCUUGAGAUAAACAACCUGAAGGACUUUGUGCAGAAAUAGAAAGUUGCAUCAUCCCAGGAGAAAGCCCAGGCAGGACGCUCAAACUGUAAAUGGCUCCACCUCCACCAACUUGUAGGUUUCACAGGCCUGUCACUCAGCCCUGAUCUUGUAAGAGAUCAGGUGUUAGACGAUCUUCUCCUUCUAUAGCUGGCAAGUAGGGAUAAGUGAUUCCACUCUUCCCAGACCAAAGUUGGUGUGCUGCAUCAUCACAGAAGCCAUCGAUCUGGUUUUUUGCUUCGUUUAUUCACCCACUCAAUAAAUGUCUGUCAGGACACUUUAUCUCAUUUAAAAGUAUCCUAUUCCUAUUUACAAGUGAAGAAAUUGGGGCUCAAAGAAAUUCACUUCUUGUCCAAAUCACAAAUGGGUGAGAGCUAAUUAUGAUCCCCCUGACUUUGGAGUCCAAGCCCACAUGAACAUAAAUCCAUGGCAAAUUGCUAUGCAAGCAGAGUGUUGGGAGAAGUUAGUGGGGAAGAGGGAGGGAAUCCUGAGAAGAAUCUGUAGAUUGUCAGCUGAAAUAGGAUUUGAAGGAUGGAUAGAGUAUACCGUUGGUUCCAUCGCAUCCAAAAUGAGAGGGUAAAUUUAUGUCGGUGGAGGGUUGAAAUGGAAGAAUGUGGAACGGAGGAAAACAAGACAAAAUGCAAGAAGAAAGGAAAACAGUCAAACAAGACAAAAUAAUAGUUUAGCCACUAAACAAAGUCAACAGCCUUUCGUUUCUCCUCAAGGGCUGUAGAUAAUAUUCUCAGCUGUAGCCUGUGAGCUGUUUUGCAGCUACAGAAGACCCCAUGGGGUAGAAGACGUUAACAGGAUGCUGCCCACAGACACAGAGAUCCCAGAUUCCUUGAAACCAGAAAGUUGAUGACCAAUCAGAAGAAGGUUUACAAGUUUGGGAUUAACAUAUACACAGUGCAAUAUAUAAAAUAGAUAAUUAACAAGGACCUACUGUAUAAACAGGGAAAUCUGCUCAAUAUUCUCUAGUAACCCGCAUGAGAAAAGAAUCUGAGAAAACAUGGAUAUAUGUAUAUGUAUAGCUGAUUCACUUUGUCUUACACCUGAAACCAACACAACAUUGUAAGUCCACUGAAUUUCAAUAAAAGUAAAAGGACAGUUAAGAAAAAAAAAA